UUGCCAGAUGCUGUCCUGUUGGAAAUUCUUCUUUACGUGAUCCUGGAGGAGGGUGAUGCUACAUUAAGUCCGUCUUUGGUUUGUUCCAAAUCCAGAAGUCUGUUGUACUGUAUACAGACUCCUUUCGAAAGGGGGCACAAUCCAGCUUGCUUGACUGAGUAUCUUUUACAUAUUUGAUUAGAGGUUUAAAAAGGUGGAACAAAAUGGACAACAAGUCUGAGCCAUGUCAGGAAUUCAACAAAAUGUACACCCUGCAGACACUGCGACGAGGUUUACAACAACUGCUUACCAGGUCACUGCAGUCACCCGGAUCGAGUACGUAUCCAGACCAGAUGGUGGAUCGCACCUAGAAAGAACCUCUACUGCCCUGAAAGACAGCGGAGACCAGGACAACUAGAGCCCCACAUACAGAUCCCCUGUAAAGACCUUGUUUUUUCUCCAUUUUGUCACCGGUGGAGUUUUGGUUCGUUGUCGCCUCUGGCUUGCUUCGUUGUGGUCACUUCAUUUACAGUGAUAUCAUUGACAUGAUUGCAAGCGAUUCCACAGAUACUAUUUAAACUGAACCGAGCUGAAGGAUGACAUCACUGAAUUGAAUGAUAAACUGUCUUUUAAACUGACUACAAACUGAGUUUACUAAUGUCCUUCUGCAUUAUUGACUGAUACACUAUUUUCCUAUUUAAUACUGUAAAGUUGCUUUGCUUUGAUCUGUAUUAUUAAAAGCACUAUAUAAAUAAACGAUGCUUGACUUGACCAUGUUGCAAGAGGAAAAUGAGGGGAGAUGCACAUCCACCCUGGGAUUUACAGUGAUUGGUGCAAGAUGCUGGAGAAGUAACUCCAUCAGAACUCAUCAGUGCUGAUCUAAGAGUCUUGAAAAUCCCUCCGGAUUGUUGUUAGUGAUUCUGAUUGAUAUUUUAGUCUGCUUGCUUACUGGAUAUAUUUUGUACUGUUUACAUUGUAAAGCACUGACUUUGACAACUUACUAACCCAGUUACAAAUUUAACAGCUACUUUAUACUAUAUAUAUAUAUAUAUAUAUAUAGUUGU